rnacentral:rRNA from 1 species
CACUCUAAAUCCUUUAACGAGGAUCUAUUGGAGGGCAAGUCUGGUGCCAGCAGCCGCGGUAAUUCCAGCUCCAAUAGCGUAUAUUAAAGUUGUUGCGGUUAAAAAGCUCGUAGUUGGAUCUCAGUUCCAGACGGGCGGUCCGCCUAACGGUGGUUACUGCCUGGCCUGAACAGCCAGCCGGUUUCCCUAGAUGAUCUUCACCGGUUGUCUUGGGUGACCGGCACGUUUACUUUGAAAAAAUUAGAGUGCUCAAAGCAGGCGUGUAGCCUGAAUAAUGGUGCAUGGAAUAAUGGAAUAGGACUUCGUUUCUAUUUUGUUGGUUUUCGGAACACGAGGUAAUGAUUAAGAGGG